rnacentral:rRNA from 1 species
CUACGGGUGGCUGCAGUGAGGAAUAUUGGACAAUGGAUGGCAAUCUGAUCCAGCCAUGCCGCGUGAAGGAAGAAUGUCCUAUGGAUUGUAAACUUCUUUUGUAUGGGAGCAAUAAGUUGUACGCGUACAAUGAUGAGAGUACCAUACGAAUAAGCAUCGGCUAACUCCGUGCCAGCAGCCGCGGUAAUACGGAGGAUGCGAGCGUUAUCCGGAUUUAUUGGGUUUAAAGGGUGCGUAGGCGGUUACUGUAAGUCAGCGGUGAAAUUUAGGGGCUUAACCCCUACCGUGCCGUUGAUACUGCAGAGCUAGAAGAGGGAUGCUGUUGGCGGAAUGUGUAGUGUAGCGGUGAAAUGCAUAGAUAUUACACAGAACACCGAUUGCGAAGGCAGCUGACAAAUCCCUUAUUGACGCUGAUGCACGAAAGUGUGGGGAUCGAACAGGAUUAGAUACCCUGGUAGUC